rnacentral:lncRNA from 13 species
CCUUGUGAUCCGCCCACCUCGGCCUCCCAAAGUGCUAGGAUUACGGGUGUGAGCCACUGCGCCCAGCCCACUGGCUGGCCAGUGCUGGGCCACUGCUCCAGAGAAGUAGGCUUUGUUCCUCAGUUUAUCUCAAGACUCAGCCUGUCAGUCAGGUUGUGGGGUCCCUCCUAUCCAGGAACCAUAGGCUGUUGUCCCGAUUCUGGUACUUUCCCUCUGAGUCUUUGGACACCUUACCUAACCCCUUGGAAGCUCCUGUCUGCGAAGAGUGUGCACGGAGAGCUUCAGCAGCCUGCGAAGCAGCCAUCCUCACUUCCACGGAGCAGCUGUGGUCAUGCAGUAGGAGAGUGGAUCAUUUGGACAUGUGACCUAAGAGAUUCCAGUCGGGGAGAAGUCCAGGAUUGUUUUGUUCCUUGGUUAAAGAAGAAAUAUCCUUUCCUCCUGAGAGGAGAACGAGAAACGAGAAGACCAAAAAGCUCUGGCUGCCAUCUUGCUACCCAAAGGGAAGUCAUUCUGAAGACGAAGCCAAGAAAAAGGCUGAGAAAAGUACAGAGAAAUGGAAAACCAUCCCUAAUAUCACCGUGGACCUCUGGAUCAAAGCCUUGCUUGAAGCUAACCAAUACCAAUAACUCUUUUAGUGGAAACUGUCUGAGAUCCAAGGGAUAAAAUCAGCAGUAAAAAUAGACCCAAUCCUUGUCCUGACGAAGCUGAUUGGAAUGGGGCAGUGGGAAGUGAGUAUAAGACCGACAUAAAUUAAAAGUCACAUGAAUGAUGGUGACAUCACAGCUCUGGUGGUGCUAUCAUGAAGGUAAGCAGCACUUCUAAGACUACGAAAUUCGGCAAUACUCUAAUUUCAGAGUGUUGCCUAAAUUAGAGUAUGGGGGCUUCUCUGAGCAAGUGGUGUUUAAACCAGAAUCUAAAAUGCAUGAGUUAACUAGGAAGUUAGGAAAAUUCCAGGCAAACGCAGUGGUGCAUGAAAUUGUCCUAACACUUACAACCACCAUUUACAAAGUGCAGACCUUUCGUCAGAUGCUCUGAUGAGAAAUUUAUAUUCAUUACUUGAUCUAAACAUCACAUCAGCCCUUUGAGGUGGAAAUGAAUGGCCCAUUUUACAAAUAAGGAAUUAGGACUCAGAGUGGCCAAUAACUGAUACAAGGUCACAUAUCUUGUAAACAGGUUCAAUCGCGGCUCAGUCUAACUCCACCACGGGGCUCUUACCCCUGAGGGCAGAACUGUCAUAUUUGUCUUUCUAACUAAAGACUGGAACAGUGUCUAGCAUGUGGUAGAUGUUCAGUUAACCCUAUUGUAUAGACAUUGAGCAUAAUAAAAUUGUACUGAAGGGGAAGAAAAGCCA